UACGGGGGGGCAAGCGUUGUUCGGAAUUACUGGGCGUAAAGGGCUCGUAGGCGGCCAACUAAGUCAGACGUGAAAUCCCUCGGCUUAACCGGGGAACUGCGUCUGAUACUGGAUGGCUUGAGAUUGGGAGAGGGAUGCGGAAUUCCAGGUGUAGCGGUGAAAUGCGUAGAUAUCUGGAGGAACACCGGUGGCGAAGGCGACAUCCUGGACCAACACUGACGCCGAGGAGCGAAAGCCAGGGGAGCAAACGGG
rnacentral:rRNA from 1 species